CGGGAAGCGGUCAAAGAGGGUGGUGUCCUACAAGAUAAGUCAAGCCAGUUGUUGGAGAUGCCUCAGGAAGAUAUUAAUCCACUGAAUCAGGCUCAGAUGCAUGGUGGAAGCACUAAGAAAUCGGCACCUGAUCUAUCCCCGACCAAACAGAAGAAGCAACAAGCAGUUCAAGAAAGGAAAAGGAAGCAACAGUCAAAGAGGGGAAAAAAGUGGCUGGUAUUACUUCUUCUAAUUCUACUUUAUAUUUAUACUUCGUUACUCCCUCCGAUUCUAUGUAUACUUGGCUCGUCAAUAUCAAUAUUGUAUAAAAAUUACAUAGAUUGACUAAUGGCUGAUGUUACUAGAUUCAUCAUGGAAAAUACCGUCAUAGUAUCUGACUUUCUUUGUUUAAUAUUAUAUAGUUAUACAGAAAUUGUAAAUCAAAGUGCUAAAUGACUUGUAUCUGGAACCAGGAGGGUCAGUUUCUAAUGCAUAAUGCAUGCGCACCACGAGGAUUCUUGUAAUACCAUCAUUCAGUUAUUAAUUGGCCAUUACUGUUGAUUGUUCUUAUCUAGGCUGAUACCUGCAUGGGUGUAUUAGAGAUGUUCGGGGGUCUUUAAAUAAGCAUAAUCAUGCUUUUGUUGUGUUUGAUCAAUCAUGUUCCAUUUCUUCCAUGUAUGACUUGUAUCUGGAACCAGGAGGGUCAGUUUCUAAUGCAUAAUGCAUGUGCACCACGAGGAUUCUUGUAAUACCAUCAUUCAGUUAUUAAUUGGCCAUUACUGUUGAUUGUUCUUAGCUAGGCUGAUACCUGCAUGGGGGUAUUAGAGAUGUUCGGGGGUCUUUAAAUAAGCAUAAUCAUGCUUUUGUUGUGUUUGAUCAAUCAUGUUCCAUUUCUUCCAUGUACCACUAGAUUAAAUCUUAUACAAGGGCAGCAUUUUUAGAGCAUGUUUUGGAUCCUAUACCCAACAACCUUGCCAGCGAGAAUAGCAAAGAUGAUUGGAUGCUUCUCUUACCUACUUUUGGGCUAGGAUUUCCUUGCGUUCAAGGGACACAUCACUCCUUUACUAGCGAGGUUUUCUUAUGGGGAAAACUGUGUAUAUACAGCUGAAGGUCAUCAUCACCUGGCCAACCUGGGCCUUAUUCUCUCUUUUUUUCAUUUCUUGGUGGCACACCUUUGUAUUUGAUUAUUCUCUUAUCUACUUAGCUUUGUUAAAUUACUUGAUUAUGUAUAACGGCUUAAUCUUUUUGUCUGGAGUGAUGAAGUGUAUUUUCUUUACAGGUGAAUCCCUGAAAAUACCCCCAAACAAAUUUUGAAUCGGAGAAUCAACCUCAUAAUGAUGAUGUCAACAUUGAGGUAGACUUCUUUUUUAGCUUCUAUACUGAAAUUCUUGUCUUAAAAUCUUAUGAAGUAAUAUACUGAGAGUGGCCAAAAAAGGUAGGUUUUUUUCUUGUUUACCAUGAUAAUCAUGCAUUAUUCAGGGCAAUGAGGGAUGAGUGGUCAUGUCGAACUUUGUAGAUGUGGUCAGACCAAUGAUUUCAAGUCGCCUGGUCGAACCCUGGGAUCGACCAGACGACUAGUCGCGAUUAGGCGAUGACUAGGGCGACUAGUCGACCCCUAGUCGGUCCUAGUCGGUCCCUGGUCGUCCUAGACUAGUAGUUAUACUUAUAUAGGUAUAUAUAUAAAUAUACAUGUAUACAUUAUAUAAAUUAGAACAAACAACUAGGAUAAACAAAGUAACAUAUUGCUUCAUUGUUUAGGGUUUAGGGUUAUUUAGGGUUUAGGGGGAGAAGUGGGGGAGCAGGAGGGACCUUCAGAUGAUGUGCUCAUCUCGUCACUAGUUCGCAGCCACCGCCGGUUGGAGACUGCAGCAGUGCAGCAGGCGAGCAGGACUGUAGGAGAAGGGGCAGGGGACGCAGGGUGUUGUAGCCGCCGGUGUAGCUGCUGGCAAUCAGGAGUUUAGGACUGCAGGGGCGGUGCCAAGGGGGGAGAGGAGAGGAGACGUGCAGGUUGGAGACUGUUGGUGGCUAGGUUAGAACAGGAGAGGAGAGGGUACUCUAAAUUAGACUGUAGAUGUGCUAAAAAGGCCAAAUAACUAAACCCUAGCCGGGAUGACCAGGACACAUAACUCGGACGACUAGUCGCCCUAGUCGACGAUUAGUCGGACGACCAGGACGACUAGGCCUUCUAGUCGAGUCGUCCAGCAAAUCGUGUCCUAAUUGCCGACCAGCCCGACUAAUCGCGAUUAAUCGCGAUUAGUCGGACGACUUGAAAUCAUUGGGUCAGACUAUGAUUUGUGUAGGGCCCUAUUUUUUUAUUCAAGUUGCAUGCACUGACGAGCACAGGAGUCAGCAACAAACAUAGAUAUUCCACGCACCUUUUUUAAUAAUGUGCGUGUUUUACUCUGAAGCUCGACAUUCAUAUGCUUCUUUGGUUUUUCAGAAACAGACAAUUACGAGUAGCACACCUUCACCAAAUGGUGCCAAGGGGCAAAAGAGAGCUCAAAGGAGAAACCAGACCAAAAAAAGGAAUCAAAGAAAAAUCCUUGGAGAUGCUGACCUUGCAUGCCAGCCUGGAGUGAGAAAAAGCUCAAGAACACGCUCAAGGCCUUUGGAGUAUUGGCUUGGUGAAAGAUUACUAUAUGGGCCUAUACAUGACAAUUUGCAUGGAGCUAUUGGCAUCAAAGCAUACUCCCCUGGCCAAGAUGGCAAGAGAUCAUUGAAAGUGAAAUCUUUCGUGCCUGAACAGUAUUCAGAUCUUGUUGCUAAAUCUGCAAGGUAUUGAAGCCAAGAUUUUCCAAAGAGGAUCACGCCUUGUGACCUGUUGCUUUGUCACCUCACUAUGUGAUGUUGACAUGUAUUGGUAGAACUGCAGUACUGCACAACGAAAUGCAUGUUAACUUAGGCAGGUAUCAAAUGGAUGAGUAUCUAGUUUGGAUGCGCUACUACCCAUUCGGCUACUCGCUACGUGGAGUCUAAGGUGUCAAUUGACAUUUGCAUGUAUACAUAGUGGUACUUGAUAGUAAGACAGUUUUAGGUUCAGACUCUUGAAAAUUGAUUUUGUUUUAGUCUUCUCGUUUCCAGAUUUAAGAUGCGAUACCACAGAUAAAAAUCUUGGGCAAUUGGAGG